CCCAACUAUCCCUAUUAAUCAUUACGUCAAUCCUAGAAACCAACAAAAUAGAAUCAUGCCGUCCUAUUUCGUUAUUCCAUGCUAAUCUAUUCAAGCAUAAAGCCUGCUUUAAACACUCUAAUUUUUUCAAAGUAACAGUCCUAGCUCCCUAUUACACCUAGUGAAAGGCAUAAUAGUUCACUAGAAGGUGGAGAUUGACAUUACCAGUACAUGUCCGAAAACACGACCGGUACGCUAAUCCCGAAAUUCAACUACGAGCUUUUUAACUGCAACAACUUUAAUAUACGCUAUUGGAGCUGGAAUUACCGCGGCUGCUGGCACCAGACUUGCCCUCCAA
rnacentral:misc_RNA from 1 species